CGGAUUCAGUCCGCCUGCGCGGCGUCGGCGCCGGUCGCGCAUCCCUCGUGGGAGCGCGCCGGCGUCCGNAUCGACGUGCGGCGGCCGUACUUUCGGCGGGCGGAGCGCCACGACCGGUUCGCCGGCGGCGAGAAACUCCCGGGCAAGGUGACCUUCGCCUCGGCGCAGGAGCAUACAGGCCCGGUGAGCGUCGGCCCGUCGGCGGACCGAGGAAGACCGUCGCGGAGCGGCGUCGACCGCCCGUCGUGUGGACGCGUUCGACUCGGGGGGACUGGUUCCAGUGCCCUCGGACCGCGCGAUCGCAGCGGCGGGACGGCCCGGCGUCGCGCCUGGGGUCGGUGGCGAAACGGCCGGCAACCUGUCCGACCCGUCUUGAAACACGGACCAAGGAGUCUAACAUGUGCGCGAGUCGUUGGGCGCUACGAAACCCGAAGGCGCAAUGAAAGUGAAGGCCCGGUCUCGUGCCGGCCUGGGUGGGAUCCGGGCGGCCUCGGCCGUCCGGCGCACCACCGGCCCGUCUCGUUCGCCGCGUCGAAGAGGCGGAGCAAGAGCGUACACGUUGGGACCCGAAAGAUGGUGAACUAUGCCCGAGUAGGACGAAGCCAGAGGAAACUCUGGUGGAGGUCCGCAGCGAUUCUGACGUGCAAAUCGAUCGUCAAACUUGGGUAUAGGGGGGAAAGAUGAAUCGGACCAUCUAGAGGCCCUUUUCAACUCCAUUUCCGCUCCUAA
rnacentral:rRNA from 1 species